CCUACGGAGGCUGCAGUGGGGAAUAUUGGACAAUGGGGGGAACCCUGAUCCAGCCAUGCCGCGUGUGUGAAGAAGGCCCUCGGGUUGUAAAGCACUUUCAGUGAGGAAGAACGCCUGGUGGUUAAUACCCAUCAGGAAAGACAUCACUCACAGAAGAAGCACCGGCUAACUCCGUGCCAGCAGCCGCGGUAAUACGGAGGGUGCGAGCGUUAAUCGGAAUUACUGGGCGUAAAGCGCGCGUAGGUGGCUUGAUAAGCCGGUUGUGAAAGCCCCGGGCUCAACCUGGGAACGGCAUCCGGAACUGUCAAGCUAGAGUGCAGGAGAGGAAGGUAGAAUUCCCGGUGUAGCGGUGAAAUGCGUAGAGAUCGGGAGGAAUACCAGUGGCGAAGGCGGCCUUCUGGACUGACACUGACACUGAGGUGCGAAAGCGUGGGUAGCAAACAGGAUUAGAUACCCUGGUAGUC
rnacentral:rRNA from 1 species